AGAUGUGGAACAACUUCAUGUAUACUAUCGGAUUUGAAUUGAAGAUCCGCGCAUUCUAUUUAAGUAACCUAUACCCGUAUUUUUAUGUUGGAUUCGGGUUGGAUGUGCCGUCGUCCUCUCCCUCCGCUUCCGCCGCCAUCGGCUCCCUCUCCAUUGCCGCUGCAGUCAUUUUCUCCCUGCGCAAGCUUCUGGAGCAAUCCAUCACCACCGGCCGCAGCAUGCCUUCGACGGCCUCGUCGCAGCCUAGCAGAAGCUCGAGCCCUUCGAUUCCCUCGUGGUGAGAAUACGCCGACGACAAGAGAGAGAGAGAGACAGACAGACAGAUAGCCUAAAAACAAACCCUAGCUUGGAGUAGCCGGCCCGAACUCCCGUUCCCUUCCUCUAUCUUCUUCGCCUCUCCGUCUUCCUCAUCCGCCGUCUCCCUUCCGUAUCGAUGGCGAUUGCAGCCGCCGACGAAACGGGCCGCAGCAGGGCGUACCGCCUAGUGGCGGCGAAGGGCGAGGACUAGCGGCACGAUCCCUACUCCCUCUUGGGAUCGAGAAACAUAGGCGUAUUUUGGACAUCUGAUGAUGCUAACAGACAUUCAAGGUUAGGGCUGUUAGGGGAAGCUCCAUCCUUUCAAGCUAACAGUGGACUAAAAGAUUGGAACACAACUGAAUCAAGUUUGAUCAAAUCAGUCUAGUGGCUUCAUAUUUGGCCUUCGGAUCUUCUUUUCUGGUGGAGUUCGAACAUCAAUUUUUUAUUCUCAUUGAUCCAAAACAAUGAGAAAACUUUUAUCUACUUGGCACUACAUUUGAGCACCGAUGUAAUGGGCCACUUUUGGACGACCUCCUAACCCUCAUUUUGCAAUUUGAGACAUCUAAGUGGUGAAGUUGCAAGAUUCACGGAUGACUCCACCAGAAGACGCGAUCAACGUUAAACCACAAAAGAAGAAACCAUCGAAAUGGAUGUCUACUGCAGUUCAGAUCAAAGAAGAGUGUUGGGGGAAAAGAAGCUUCCCAUCUGUCCAACAAGCCACAAAAUGGAUCCAAGAGAGGCCUGUAAAGAUCCAGUGACUACUGCAGGGCACUACGGCGCAAAUACUUAUUGCUGGAGGAAGAAAGCUUGAUGCAGAGGUAAGAACUCUGGAAGAUGAGAAGUUUGCUCUGUUGGAUCAGCUCGUUGUCUUGGAAGGUCUUCUUGAUCCUUCAUCAUGUAGGGGGUUUGUGAAGAGAACACCACCCGACAGAGAGAUUUGUAUGUUCUUAAAAGCCCAAGCUACGAUCUGAAUUGAUGUAUCAGUUGUAUUUUCUGAUUAAGAUGUAUAAAAUAUUACAAAUGAGAGAGAAUUCAAAAUAUAGUUUAGAAGGAA